GUGCCAGCCGCCGCGGUAAUACGUAGGGGGCUAGCGUUGUCCGGAAUCAUUGGGCGUAAAGCGCGUGUAGGCGGUCCGGUAAGUCCGCUGUGAAAGUCGGGGGCUCAACCCUCGGAUGCCGGUGGAUACUGUCGGGCUUGAGUACGGAAGAGGCGAGUGGAAUUCCUGGUGUAGCGGUGAAAUGCGCAGAUAUCAGGAGGAACACCAAUUGCGAAGGCAGCUCGCUGGGACGUUACUGACGCUGAGACGCGAAAGCGUGGGGAGCAAACAGGAUUAGAUACCCUGGUAGUCCACGCUGUAAACGAUGGGCACUAGGUGUGGGGGGUGUCGACUCCCUCCGUGCCGAAGCUAACGCAUUAAGUGCCCCGCCUGGGGAGUACGGCCGCAAGGCUAAA
rnacentral:rRNA from 1 species